AACUAUCAGACCUCUGUCUUUUAUUAGGCAUUGGACUGGAUUUGGACUUUACCGUCUCCUUUCACUAGGAACGGUUGGUCUUAAAAGCAUUAGCUGACCCUCGAUUUGUGGGAUUGGUUCUACUUGACGUGAUAAUUAUCUAUGACCGUCAAGGACAUUUGCUUAAGUGCGAAUGGCCAGUUCUACCUUGAGUCGCUUCUAAUCGCACCCAGUGUGCACAUUUUCAA
rnacentral:misc_RNA from 1 species